GACGAACGCUGGCGGCGUGCUUAACACAUGCAAGUCGAACGGAAAGGCCCUGCUUUUGUGGGGUGCUCGAGUGGCGAACGGGUGAGUAACACGUGAGUAACCUGCCCUUGACUUUGUGAUAACUUCAGGAAACUGGGGCUAAUACCGGAUAGGAGCUCCUGCUGCAUGGUGGGGGUUGGAAAGUUUCGGCGGUUGGGGAUGGACUCGCGGCUUAUCAGCUUGUUGGUGGGGUAGUGGCUUACCAAGGCUUUGACGGGUAGCCGGCCUGGGAGGGUGACCGGCCACAUUGGGACUGAGAUACGGCCCAGACUCCUACGGGAGGCAGCAGUGGGGAAUAUUGCACAAUGGGCGGAAGCCUGAUGCAGCAACGCCGCGUGCGGGAUGACGGCCUUCGGGUUGUAAACCGCUUUCGCCUGUGACGAAGCGUGAGUGACGGUAAUGGGUAAAGAAGCACCGGCUAACUACGUG
rnacentral:rRNA from 1 species